GACGAACGCUGGCGGCGUGCUUAACACAUGCAAGUCGAACGGAAAGGCCCGGCUCUUGUGGGGUGCUCGAGUGGCGAAAGGGUGAGUAACACGUGAGUAACCUGCCCUUGACUUUGGGAUAACUUCAGGAAACUGGGGCUAAUACCGGAUAGGAGCUCCUGCUGCAUGGUGGGGGUUGGAAAGAUUCGGCGGUUGGGGAUGGACUCGCGGCCUAUCAGCUUGUUGGUGGGGUAGUGGCUUACCAAGGCUUUGACGGGUAGCCGGCCUGAGAGGGUGACCGGCCACAUUGGGACUGAGAUACGGCCAAGACUCCUACGGGAGGCAGCAGUGGGGAAUAGUGCACGAUGGGCGGAAGCCUGAUGCAGCAACGCCGCGUGCGGGAUGACGGCCGUCGGGUUGUAAACCGCUUUCGCCUGUGACGAAGCGUGAGUGACGGUAAUGGGUAAAGAAGCACCGGCUAACUACGUG
rnacentral:rRNA from 1 species